rnacentral:tRNA from 1 species
GUGCCGCCGUAGCUUAGUUGGUAGAGCGCGCGGCUGUUAACCGCGUGGUCCCCCGUUCGAGUCGGGGCGGCGGCGC